GAUGAACGCUGGCGGCGUGCCUAAUACAUGCAAGUCGAGCGAACGGACGAGAAGCUUGCUUCUCUGAUGUUAGCGGCGGACGGGUGAGUAACACGUGGAUAACCUACCUAUAAGACUGGGAUAACUUCGGGAAACCGGAGCUAAUACCGGAUAAUAUUUUGAACCGCAUGGUUCAAAAGUGAAAGACGGUCUUGCUGUCACUUAUAGAUGGAUCCGCGCUGCAUUAGCUAGUUGGUAAGUUAACGGCUUACCAAGGGAACGAUGCAUAGCCGACCUGAGAGGGUGAUAGGCCACAUGGGAGCUGAAACACGGUCAAGGCGCCUACGGGAGGCAGCAGUAGGGAAUCUUCCGCAAUGGGCGAAAGCCUGACGGAGCAACGCCGCGUGAGUGAUGAAGGUCUUCGGAUCGUAAAACUCUGUUAUUAGGGAAGAACAUAUGUGGAAGUAACUGUGCACAUCUUGACGGUACCUAAUCAGAAAGCCACGGCUAACUACGUG
rnacentral:rRNA from 1 species